rnacentral:rRNA from 1 species
AUUUGAAAUCUCCGAUGCUUGCAUCGGCGAGUUGUAGUUGCGAGAAGCACUUUCUAGGUGGAUCAGCGGUGCCUAAGUUGCUUGGAACAGCACGUCGCAGAGGGUGACAACCCCGUCUGUGCCGCUGCUGGCCGCUGACGAUGUGCUUUCGAAGAGUUGGGUUGUUUGGGAAUGCAGCCCAAAAUGGGUGGUAAAACUCCAUCUAAAGCUAAAUACUGCCGUGAGACAGAUAGCGAACAAGUACCGUGAGGUAAAGAUGAAAAGAACUUUGAAAAGAGAAUUAAAAAGUAUCUGAAACCGUCAAAAGGGGAGCAAAUGGACUCAGCAAUGCGCCCUCUGAGAUUCAGCCGGUGGAUGGCGGCGGCGCUGGGCUUGCGGAUCUGAAUGGGCCAUGGCCCGGCGCCCGCUUCCCCCGCCAUCGCACUUCUCUGCGGCGCGUGUCAACGUGCAUUGGGACUGGGUCUGAAAGGUGCCGGGAACGUAGGUGUGGGCCCCCGGGUCCGUGCCAUUGCAGCCCGGUUCUCGUGGUUCGGCCCCGACUGAGGAGCGACACGCAGGGCAUGCCUCUUGUGGCUAGGGUACCGUCCUUCCGGCCGGUUGUCCAGUGCAGUGGACUGCUUGCAGUGCUCUGCGACGGCUACCGGUCGUUGGGGUGGUGAUCUCGUACCAUGCCCUUAGGAUGAAACGAAGACCAAGGAGUCUAACAUGUGCACGAGUUUUAGGGUGAGUCAAACCCCACGGUGCAAUGAAAGUGAAGGCGGUUCCAGCCGCUGAGGUGAGAUCCGCAGCCGCAAGGCCCCGGCGCAUCAUCGACCGACCUAUUCUA